AUGGCCUCAGGCCACCCCGGGGCCCGGGGCACCCCCACAGCCUGCCCCCUCCCCAGCAUGUGGGGGACAAGCCCACAACUGGUGGCCAGGGUGGUGGGCACACCCCCGGGGUGCAGCCCCACAGCCUGCUGCUGCCCGCACCAGCCAGCCCCUGGCCCAGGGGCGGCGGACCGUCCUGGUGCCCGGGGGGCCACCCCGUCCUGCCCCUUCACCCAGGGCCCCGUGAGGCCAGCGCGGCUUGUCUCCACCCAGGAAGCCCGGCCCGGGAUGCCCCUUUCGAGCGGGCCCUCCACCGGCACCGGGUGGAGCUGCACCCUGCUGCCCGCCCCGCACCCCGAGGCCGCCCGCACGGCCUGCACCUUUAGCCACAGUUCCAGGAUGCUCUCGUGGCCCGCGGAGCCCGGCCGCCCCUUCCUCUCGCAGCCCCGGGGGCUCGGGCCUGCCGCCCCCUCCCUCUCCGCCUCCCGCCCGGCCCCGGUCACCCACACCGACCCCACCGGCCCCACCACCUGGGGCUCCCCAACCGCGCCGUCCACCCACACGACCCCCGGGGCCCUCGCUACGGGGGCUGCGGCGCCAGGGCUCCCCGCCGCCUCCGGCCCCCCGGCCCCCGCCGCCCCCGCCGCGGCCCCCGUCCCCGGCGGCUGCCCGAAGCCGGGGGGCCCGUCCGCGCUCACGCAGCGCGCCUCCCACGCGGCGCCCCGGGCUCGACGGCCCGCUCCCCGGCCUCGCGGCGUCCCCGCGGGGCACCGCCUCCCCCACGGCUGCCCGCGCCCCCGCCCCGGCCGGCUGGGCCCCACGCAGCGGCCGGCCGCCCCGCUCAUGGCCGCAGGCCCGCGCGCUCCCCCACCGCCUUCCCGGCCGCACGCGCGCACGCAGCCCGCCGCCGCCGCCCCGACCCCGCCCCGGGGACCCCCACACGCCGCAGGAGCGCGGUGCUCGGGCGGCUCGGCGUCCCCAGCGCCGGGGCGCGGCUCCCGGCGCGACCUCCCGGAACCCCCCAGUCCCGGCCCGAGCCCACCUGCCUGCGGCGCGGCGGCUACCGGGAGGCCGCCUGGGAGCCGGCUAGGCCGAGCUUCCGGCCGCUCGCCCGGUCGCCAUAGCAACGGGCGCGGGGCGGCCUGGGAGCCGUUAGGGCUCUCGAGCCAGCCAGGGGUCCCCGGGCGGCGUGGCGGCGGGCCGGGCAGCCACCGCUCAUGGGGCCGGGGCCGGGGCCGGGGCGGCUGGGGCAGAGACUCGGCUAUCAGCGGAGGGCCGGCGCCGGGGGCGCGGAGAGACGGGCGCACAGGGGCAACACCGACGCCGUAUGGCCGCCUGAGGUCUCCGUAG
rnacentral:lncRNA from 1 species